UGUAUCAGAAAAGGUGUGGGGCAGUGGCAGCCAGAUGUGGAAUGGGCACAGCAGUUUGGGGGAGCUGCUAUGUACCCAAGCAAAGAAACAGCCCACUGGAAGCCUCCACCUUGGAGUGAUGUGAACCCUCCAAAGGACACAAUGGUGAAGAACAUGACCCUGAACUUUGGGCCCCAACACCCAGUAGCACAUGGUGUCCUGCGACUAGUGAUGGAAUUGAGUGGGGAGAUGGUGCAGAAGUGUGAUCCUCACAUUGGGCUCCUGCACCGAGGCACUGAGAAGCUCAUUGAAUACAAGACCUAUCUUCAGGCCCCUCCACACUUUGACCGGCUAGACUAUGUGUCCAUGAUGUGUAAUGGACAGGCCUAUUCUCUAGCUGUGGAGAAGUUGCUAAACAUCCGGCCUCCUCCCCGGGCACAGUGGAUCCGAGUGCUGUUUGGAGAAAUCACACGGCUGUUGAACCACAUCAUGGCUAUGACCACACGUGCCCUGGAUCUUGGGGCCAUGACCCCUUUCUUCUGGCUGUUUGAAGAAAGGGAGAAGAUGUUUGAGUUCUACGAGCGAGUGUCUGGAGCCUGAAUGCAUGCUGCUUGGGCUUAUGGAUGACAUUUAUGAGUUUUCUAAGAACUUCUCUCUUUGGCUUGAUGAGUUGGAGGAGAUGCUGACCAACAAUAGGAUCUGGCGAAAUUGGACAAUUGACAUUGGGGUUGUAACAGCAGAAGAAGCACUUAACUAUGGUUUUAGUGGAGUGAUGCUUCGGGGCUCAGGCAUCCAGUGGGACCAGAAGACCCAGCCCUAUGACGUUUACAACCAGGUUGACUUUGAUGUUCCUGUUGGUUCUCGAGGGGACUGCUAUGAUAGGUACCUGUGCCGGGUGGAGGAGAUGCGCCAGUCCCUGAGAAUUAUCGCUUGGGAGCAGAGUUGUACCAGAAAUAACCCCUGUGGAGGCUGA